rnacentral:rRNA from 1 species
CUGGUUGCCCCUAAACAGUAGUCAUAUGCUUGUCUCAAAGAUUAAGCCAUGCAUGUCUAAGUACAUGCCGUAUUAAGGCGAAACCGCGAAUGGCUCAUUAAAUCAGUUACGGUUCCUUAGAUGUUGACUGUCUACAUGGAUAACUGUGGUAAUUCUAGAGCUAAUACAUGCACAAAAGCUUUGACCUUACCGGGAAAAGCGCAUUUAUUAGAACAAGACCAAUGGGGCCGCCGGCAACGGCGGCUCCUUCCAGUGGUGACUCUGAAUAACUUUCGCUAAUCGCAUGGCCUACGUGCCGGCGAUGAAUCUUUCAAGUGUCUGCCUUAUCAACUGUCGAUGGUAGGUUAUGCGCCUACCAUGGUUGUAACGGGUAACGGGGA